rnacentral:ncRNA from 1 species
AAUAAUUCUGUGAAGAGAAAGAGUAAAUUUUAGUAACUAAUCUAAAGAGAGUUGAUAUUUGCUGAAAGUCAACGUUUAGUCUAUAAUUGAAAAUCAUCUCUGAGAAGUAAACCUGAAAUUUAUUAAGGUUUAAUGGAAGUCCACCAUUAUAAGGAACAGAUAUGUUUGUAUCUUGAUUAAGUGCUAUUUAACUUUGUACUCAUAAAUAUAAAGUUUGAUAGAAUUAGGGUGGUAACACGUGCCUAUUAGCUCGUCCCUUUU